GCGGGGGCGUGGUGUGGAGCGGGCGCGUUUUGUUUGCGUUAUCAUGAAGGUGAAGUUCCCACUGAGGCCAAAGAAAGAGGAGAAGUUUCUUUGGAAGCGUGAAUUUGUGAAAAGAAAAACUUUGCCCAAGAAACAAGAUUAACGAGCUAAACCUUACACAAAAGUUGCCAGCAUCUCCUGGCUCGCGCAGCUCUGCCAUUUGUGAGACCAUGUCUGACAGGAUGAAGCACGUCUCUGUUUGCAACAUGAAAAGGUGGCGAAAGAUCUGGCUCACGCUUUGCAGUUUCUCCCCUGCCUCCUCCUUCCAAGGGCUGUUCACAGCAAAAUUCAAAGAACUGGAUUCUGCCUGGUAAACCUUGAAGUAGCUUCAGUGACUUCAGGAGAAUUGCUCUAGAUGUACAUGAAUGCAAGAGACAUCAAAAUCUGGACCAGCUGAAUGCCACUGUCUCAGAGACCAGAAAAUUGCCUGAAUUGAUGCUGCCUUGGGAUUCAUGAGGUCUAUCAGCUAUGCAUGUAAAAAAAAAAUCACCUCCUAAAUGGUUUCAAGCCAUUUCUUUUUGUCCCUGCACCUCAUCCUUGACCCAAGCACUUUGUAAGAAAGCAGAGUAGGGAUUUUUUACGGAGAGAAAUGUGUCUGAAGCCAGGAGGGCACGGAGUAACCACAUCCUUUUUCUAGUUUAUUCGUGUAUGGCCUUGAUACCAUGACACAUGCUGAGCAGUGAGCGUUACUUCACGGGGCAAGAGGAACAGGCCUCCUGAUUUCAUUCAGGUGUGAGUAAGGAGAGGGAGACUCAUCUCCUAGAAAAUUCACCACCUCACACCCUUGUUUGCAUUUAAGCUUGGAGGGAGCCAAGCUUCUCAAUCCAACAGCCUUUAAAUGCAGCAGACACAGACUUUGCUGAAUGAAAACCAGGAAGCUAGGAAAGAAAAACAGUCAUUUCUUUAUUCUUCCCCAGCUCACCUAGGCUUCCCAGUUUGAGAUGCAAUCAAAUGUUCACAGUCUCCAUGCUCUCUAUCAGCAAACCCAGCGGAAAAAAAAAUAUCAGACCAUUUGUUUAAUCCUAGCAAAAAUGACUGUCAGGCAGUGAUUUUUCCUCUGUUCCAAAGCAGCUGUGGGGAAAGGAUUGGAGCAGGUGGGUUUCUUUGCAAACUAAUUCUCCCAUGUCAGCAAAUCUGAACUGAAAUCCGAAUUUGGACCUGGAGAUGAUCAAAGAAAGCAGGUACAAUAAUAAUACUGCAGUGUCCAGUCCUGCCAAAAGCAACUUUUGGGAUUGGGGCCAGAGUUUUUCUCUUGAUUUCAAAGUUCUUCCCAAAGGAAAGUAACUAUUAGUCCUUUUUUUCAGAUGGGGAAACUGAGGCAGACAGCGGCAAGCUAAUAAUAGAGUUGAGAGUAGACUCACCUGUCCCUGUCUCCUGACUUGUAGGAUCCCCAAUCCCCUUUGCCUCACCAUAGGUUCAUGGAUCUGUAACUCAAAAUGGAAUUAUCAAUGGAAAGGGACCAAAUGAAUAGGGUGAAUAGGAAGGCACUAACUAGAAAACUGUGUAUUAUAAAAAGCAUGAUAACAUGCUGUUCAUAGACAAUUUUCUAUCUACGUAGCAGAUUUUGACUAGAUUUUAAUCUAGCAUCCUCUUGGUUUAGUACUAAAUGGUGCAGAAUAAAUUGGGCUUUAGCCCAGUGGGGACUUUUUCACGUAACUUCCAGUGAGUCUAGUAAAGAAACUUAACCUAAUCUCAAAAGAGACAAUUUGAAAAGGGAACUAGACGCCCACACCCUGUUUCCAGACAUUUCCCUUUUUGUAUUUACUCGACUCAUUUUGGUUCUACUGAGUUCCCUCUUGAGUGACACACAAAUGGACCUGAUAAAGUAUUUCAAGUUGCGGCUUCUGAGACUGAAGGCGUUUCAUGGUAUUUUAGUUUUGCUUCCUUUGUCAGCUCCAAGCAGAUUCCUCAAUUAUAAGAGGCUUACUUUCAGACUA